UACGAACCGUCCAAACGUUAUUCGGAAUUAUUGGGCUUAAAGGGUGCGUAGGCUGUGCAGUAAGUUGGGUGUGAAAUCCCUCGGCUCAACCGAGGAACUGCGCCGAAUACUGCUGCGCUAGAGGAAGAUAGGGGUAAGCGGAACUGAUGGUGGAGCGGUGAAAUGCGUUGAUAUCAUCAGGAACACCGGUGGCGAAGGCGGCUUACUGGAUCUUUUCUGACGCUGAUGCACGAAAGCUAGGGGAGCGAACGGG
rnacentral:rRNA from 1 species